UACGUAGGGACCGAGCGUUGUCCGGAUUCAUUGGGCGUAAAGAGCUCGUAGGCGGCUGCUCAAGUCGAAUGUGAAAACUCGAGGCUCAACCUCGAGCCUGCAUUCGAUACUGGGCGGCUAGAGUCUGGUAGGGGGAUCUGGAAUUCCUGGUGUAGCGGUGAAAUGCGCAGAUAUCAGGAGGAACACCUAUGGCGAAGGCAGCUCGCUGGGACGGUACUGACGCUGAGGCGCGAAAGCGUGGGGAGCAAACAGG
rnacentral:rRNA from 1 species